UACGUAGGGGGCAAGCGUUGUCCGGAUUUAUUGGGCGUAAAGAGCGUGUAGGCGGCCAGACAGGUCAGCUGUGAAAACUCAAGGCUCAACCUCGAGACGUCGGUUGAAACCGUCUGGCUAGAGUCCGGAAGAGGAGAGUGGAAUUCCCGGUGUAGCGGUGAAAUGCGCAGAUAUCAGGAGGAACACCGGUGGCGAAGGCGGGACUCUGGGCCGAUACUGACGCUGAGGAGCGAAAGCGUGGGGAGCGAACAGG
rnacentral:rRNA from 1 species